rnacentral:rRNA from 1 species
GGCGGACGGGUGAGUAAUACUUAGGAAUCUGCCCAUUAGUGGGGGACAACUCGAGGAAACUCGAGCUAAUACCGCAUACGCCCUACGGGGGAAAGCGGAGGACCUUUCGGGGCUUCGCGCUAAUGGAUGAGCCUAAGUCGGAUUAGCUUGUUGGUGAGGUAAAGGCUCACCAAGGCGACGAUCCGUAGCUGGUCUGAGAGGACGAUCAGCCACACUGGGACUGAGACACGGCCCAG